rnacentral:rRNA from 1 species
CAGCAGCCACGGGAAUACGGAGGGUGCAAGCGUUAAUUGGAAUUACUGGGCGUAAAGCGCACGCAGGCGGUCUGACAAGUCAGAUGUGAAAUCCCCGGGCUUAACCUGGGAACUGCAUUUGAAACUGUCAGGCUGGAGUCUUGUAGAGGGGGGUAGAAUUCCAGGUGUAGCGGUGAAAUGCGUAGAGAUCUGGAGGAAUACCGGUGGCGAAGGCGGCCCCCUGGACAAAGACUGACGCUCAGGUGCGAAAGCGUGGGGAGCAAACAGGAUUAGAUACCCGCGUAGUCCCUGUCUCUUAUAA